CCUGCGGCAGCUUACACAUGCAGUCGACCGGUAACAGGAGAAGCUUGCUUCUCGCUGACGAGCGGCGGACGGGUGAGUAAUACUUAGGAAUCUACCUAGUAGUGGGGGAUAGCACGGGGAAACUCGUAUUAAUACCGCAUACGACCUACGGGAGAAAGGGGGCAGUUUACUGCUCUCGCUAUUAGAUGAGCCUAAGUCGGAUUAGCUAGAUGGUGGGGUAAAGGCCUACCAUGGCGACGAUCUGUAGCUAGUCUGAGAGGAUGAUCAGCCACACCGGGACUGAGACACGGCCCGGACUCCUACGGGAGGCAGCAGUGGGGAAUCUUCCGCAAUGGACGAAAGUCUGACGGAGCAACGCCGAGUGAAGGAAGAAGGUUUUCGGGUCAGAAAACUCUGUUGUUAAAGAAGAACAAGGAUGAGAGUAACUGCUCAUCCCCUGACGGUAUUUAACCAGAAAGCCACGGCUAACUACGUGCCAGCAGCCGCGGUAAU
rnacentral:rRNA from 1 species